GACGAACCGUCCAAACGUUGUUCGGAAUCACUGGGCUUAAAGGGCGCGUAGGCGGGUCAGCAAGUCCGGGGUGAAAUCUUUCGGCUUAACCGGAAAAGUGCCUUGGAGACUGCUGGUCUAGAGGGAGGUAGGGGCAUGUGGAACUUCUGGUGGAGCGGUGAAAUGCGUUGAUAUCAGAAGGAACGCCGGUGGCGAAAGCGACGUGCUGGAUCUCUUCUGACGCUGAGGCGCGAAAGCCAGGGGAGCAAACGG
rnacentral:rRNA from 1 species